CAGUAGCCGCGGUAAUACGUAGGUGGCAAGCGUUGUCCGGAAUUAUUGGGCGUAAAGGGCUCGCAGGCGGUUUCUUAAGUCUGAUGUGAAAGCCCCCGGCUCAACCGGGGAGGGUCAUUGGAAACUGGGAAACUUGAGUGCAGAAGAGGAGAGUGGAAUUCCACGUGUAGCGGUGAAAUGCGUAGAGAUGUGGAGGAACACCAGUGGCGAAGGCGACUCUCUGGUCUGUAACUGACGCUGAGGAGCGAAAGCGUGGGGAGCGAACAGGAUUAGAGACCCGCGUAGUCCCUGUCUCUUAUAC
rnacentral:rRNA from 1 species